UUUUACGGAGAGUUUGAUCCUGGCUCAGGACGAACGCUGGCGGCGUGCUUAACACAUGCAAGUCGAGCGGUAAGGCCUUUCGGGGUACACGAGCGGCGAACG
rnacentral:rRNA from 1 species